rnacentral:pre_miRNA from 1 species
CCAUUCCCACCCCCUUAUCACUUUUCCAGCCCAGCUUCGUCAUUGCCACUGUUGGACGGAGAACUGAGGGCUGCAGUGCGC